UCUGUCCGAAUCCGUUCAUCUCCAAUGC
rnacentral:sRNA from 1 species